rnacentral:rRNA from 1 species
AUACCCGCAGCCCAAGUGGUGGUCGAUAUUAUUGAGUCUAAAACGUUCGUAGCCGGUUCAAUAAAUCUCUGGGUAAAUCGGAGGGCUUAACCUUCCGAAUUCCGGAGAGACUGUUGAACUUGGGACCGGGAGAGGCAAGAGGUACUUCUGGGGUAGGGGUAAAAUCCUGUAAUCCUAGAAGGACCACCGGUGGCGAAGGCGUCUUGCUAGAACGGAUCCGACGGUGAGGGACGAAGCCCUGGGUCGCAAACGGGAUUAGAUACCCCGGUAGUCCAGGGUGUAAACGCUGCAGACUUGGUGUUGGGAACCCUUCGGGGGUGCUCAGUGCCGGAGAGAAGUUGUUAAGUCUGCUACUUGGGGAGUACGUCCGCAAGGAUGAAACUUAAAGGAAUUGGCGGGG